GAUGAACGCUGGCGGCGUGCCUAAUACAUGCGAGUCGAGCGAACAGACGAGGAGCUUGCUCCUCUGACGUUAGCGGCGGACGGGUGAGUCACACGUGGAUAACCUACCUAUAAGACUGGGAUAACUUCAGGAAACCGGAGCUAAUACCGGAUAAUAUAUUGAACCGCAUGGUUCAAUAGUGAAAGACGGUUUUGCUGUCACUUAUAGAUGGAUCCGCGCCGCAUUAGCUAGUUGGUAAGGUAACGGCUUACCAAGGCGACGAUGCGUAGCCGACCUGAGAGGGUGAUCGGCCACACUGGAACUGAGACACGGUCCAGACUCCUACGGGAGGCAGCAGUAGGGAAUCUUCCGCAAUGGGCGAAAGCCUGACGGAGCAACGCCGCGUGAGUGAUGAAGGUCUUCGGAUCGUAAAACUCUGUUAUUAGGGAAGAACAAAUGUGUAAGUAACUAUGCACGUCUUGACGGUACCUAAUCAGAAAGCCACGGCUAACUACGUG
rnacentral:rRNA from 1 species